AUUGAACGCUGGCGGCAUGCCUUACACAUGCAAGUCGAACGGUAACAGGUUAAGCUGACGAGUGGCGAACGGGUGAGUAAUGUAUCGGAACGUGCCCAGUCGUGGGGGAUAACUGCUCGAAAGAGCAGCUAAUACCGCAUACGACCUGAGGGUGAAAGCGGGGGAUCGCAAGACCUCGCGCGAUUGGAGCGGCCGAUAUCAGAUUAGGUAGUUGGUGAGGUAAAGGCUCACCAAGCCGACGAUCUGUAGCUGGUCUGAGAGGACGACCAGCCACACUGGGACUGAGACACGGCCCAGACUCCUACGGGAGGCAGCAGUGGGGAAUUUUGGACAAUGGGCGCAAGCCUGAUCCAGCCAUGCCGCGUGCGGGAAGAAGGCCUUCGGGUUGUAAACCGCUUUUGUCAGGGAAGAAAAGGUUCUGGCUAAUACCUGGGACUCAUGACGGUACCUGAAGAAUAAGCACCGGCUAACUAC
rnacentral:rRNA from 1 species